UGGGGAAUAUUGCACAAUGGGCGCAAGCCUGAUGCAGCCAUGCCGCGUGUAUGAAGAAGGCCUUCGGGUUGUAAAGUACUUUCAGCGGGGAGGAAGGGAGUAAAGUUAAUACCUUUGCUCAUUGACGUUACCCGCAGAAGAAGCACCGGCUAACUCCGUGCCAGCAGCCGCGGUAAUACGGAGGGUGCAAGCGUUAAUGGGAAUAACUGGGCGUAAAGCGCACGCAGGCGGUUUGUCAAGUCAGAUGUGAAAUCCCCGGGCUCAACCUGGGAACUGCAUCUGAUACUGGCAAGCUUGAGUCUCGUAGAGGGGGGUAGAAUUCCAGGUGUAGCGAUGAAAUGCGUAGAGAUCGGGAAGAAUACCGGUGGCGAAGGCGGCCCCCUGGACGAAGACUGACGCUCAGGUGCGAAAGCGUGGGGAGCAAACAGG
rnacentral:rRNA from 1 species